UACGUAGGUGGCAAGCGUUGUCCGGAAUUAUUGGGCGUAAAGCGCGCGCAGGCGGCCUCUUAAGUCUGAUGUGAAAGCCCCCCGGCUCAACGGGCGGAGGGCCAUUGGAAACUGGGAGGCUUGAGUAUAGGAGAGAAGAGUGGAAUUCCACGUGUAGCGGUGAAAUGCGUAGAGAUGUGGAGGAACACCAGUGGCGAAGGCGACUCUUUGGCCUAUAACUGACGCUGAGGCGCGAAAGCGUGGGGAGCAAACAGG
rnacentral:rRNA from 1 species